ACGCUGGCGGCGUGCCUAAUACAUGCAAGUAGAACGCACAGUUUAUACCGUAGCUUGCUACACCAUAGACUGUGAGUUGCGAACGGGUGAGUAACGCGUAGGUAACCUGCCUGGUAGCGGGGGAUAACUAUUGGAAACGAUAGCUAAUACCGCAUAAUAUUAAUUAUUGCAUGAUAAUUGAUUAAGAGGUGCAAUUGCACCACUACCAGAUGGACCUGCGUUGUAUUAGCUAGUAGGUGAGGUAACGGCUCACCUAGGCGACGAUACAUAGCCGACCUGAGAGGGUGAUCGGCCACACUGGGACUGAGACACGGCCCAGACUCCUACGGGAGGCAGCAGUAGGGAAUCUUCGGCAAUGGACGAAAGUCUGACCGAGCAACGCCGCGUGAGUGAAGAAGGUUUUCGGAUCGUAAAGCUCUGUUGUAAGAGAAGAACGGGUGUGAGAGUGGAAAGUUCACACUGUGACGGUAUCUUACCAGAAAGGGACGGCUAACUACGUGCCAGCAGCCGCGGUAAUACGUAGGUCCCGAGCGUUGUCCGGAUUUAUUGGGCGUAAAGCGAGCGCAGGCGGUUAGAUAAGUCUGAAGUUAAAGGCUGUGGCUUAACCAUAGUACGCUUUGGAAACUGUUUAACUUGAGUGCAGAAGGGGAGAGUGGAAUUCCAUGUGUAGCGGUGAAAUGCGUAGAUAUAUGGAGGAACACCGGUGGCGAAAGCGGCUCUCUGGUCUGUAACUGACGCUGAGGCUCGAAAGCGUGGGGAGCGAACAGGAUUAGAUACCCUGGUAGUCCACGCCGUAAACGAUGAGUGCUAGGUGUUAGGCCCUUUCCGGGGCUUAGUGCCGCAGCUAACGCAUUAAGCACUCCGCCUGGGGAGUACGACCGCAAGGUUGAAACUCAAAGGAAUUGACGGG
rnacentral:rRNA from 1 species